rnacentral:rRNA from 1 species
AUGCAGAAACGCCACGAGUCGUCGGACUUGCAAACAAGGUUGACCUUCCUCGUUGCAGCGGCGUGUUUGCUGGCAGGAUCAGUCCGUAAUGCAUACCACACCCGGUACAGGGGGAUCUUCAACGGUGACCCACUCUCUUGCGAGACGCUGCGCAAGGGUGUAUUUGCUGCUGGUGCAGCCUUCACCUUCUUCACGGCCAUCCUGAGCGAGUUCUAUUACAUCAGCUACUCCCAAUCCCGGGAUGCCGCUGGUGACACUCCAUACGGCGGCUCCAGUAUCGGCAUGGGCCCUUACAAUUAA